GGGCCAUUAGCUCAGUUGGUCAGAGCGUCGCAAAUAAUAUUAUGGAUUGAAGCGAAGGUCGGGGGUUCGAUCCCCUCAUGGUCCA
rnacentral:tRNA from 1 species